GGAUGAAUAGCUCAAUGGCAGAGCGUUCCCUUGUUAAGGGAAGGGUUGUAGGUUCGAGUCCUGCUUCAUCCGCAA
rnacentral:tRNA from 1 species